rnacentral:rRNA from 1 species
CACGUAGGGUGCGAGCGUUGUCCGGAAUUAUUGGGCGUAAAGAGCUCGUAGGCGGUCUGUCGCGUCGGCUGUGAAAUCCCGAGGCUCAACCUCGGGUCUGCAGUCGAUACGGGCAAACUAGAGUAUUGCAGGGGAGACUGGAAUUCCUGGUGUAGCGGUGAAAUGCGCAGAUAUCAGGAGGAACACCGGUGGCGAAGGCGGGUCUCUGGGCCGAUACUGACGCUGAGGAGCGAAAGCGUGGGGAGCGAACAGG